GCCUCUAACAGCUCAGUUGGUAGAGCACUCGUCUAGUUAACGAGAGGUCUCCAGUUCGAUUCUGGGUGGAGGCA
rfam:Phlebotomus papatasi Contig71621.1, whole genome shotgun sequence.